GCUAGAUGCCGGCCGAGGCGACGCGCCCUUCCGGCCAUUUUGAUCCUUCGAUGUCGGCUCUUCCUAUCAUUGUGAAGCAGAAUCCACCAAGCGUUGGAUUGUUCACCCACUAAUAGGGAACGUGAGCUUGGUUUAGUCCGUCGCGAGACAGGUU